CUAUUAGACCUUGGAUGUCUGUAGUUUACAGGUGGCUCUAUGAUUUCAAUUCUCGUGAGUACUUUUACGAUGGUUCAUCAUAUGGCACCCAACAUACCCUUCAAAACUUCUGAGGAUAUCUUCAAUGAAAUUAGACUACAUUUUCAAUUAUCCUUUUCUUUGACAUUUUGAUGACAAACACCAUAUAGUUUAACCAUCUGAUUAUGAAAUGAAAGUAUUCCAUCGAGGUGCAUUUCUGGUCAUGGUCAUGUAUUAUGUUAAAGUCCUUUAACCUAGAAGAUGAAAAUAGAUGAAUGUUUUCCUUUAUCUCGA